AUUGAACGCUGGCGGCAUGCUUUACACAUGCAAGUCGAACGGUAACAGGUUAAGCUGACGAGUGGCGAACGGGUGAGUAAUGCAUCGGAACGUGCCCGAUCGUGGGGGAUAACGCAGCGAAAGCUGCGCUAAUACCGCAUACGAUCUGAGGAUGAAAGCGGGGGACCGUAAGGCCUCGCGCGAUCGGAGCGGCCGAUGUCAGAUUAGGUAGUUGGUGGGGUAAAGGCUCACCAAGCCAACGAUCUGUAGCUGGUCUGAGAGGACGACCAGCCACACUGGGACUGAGACAAGGCCCAGACUCCUACGGGAGGCAGCAGUGGGGAAUUUUGGACAAUGGGCGAAAGCCUGAUCCAGCAAUGCCGCGUGCAGGAAGAAGGCCUUCGGGUUGUAAACUGCUUUUGUACGGAGCGAAAAGGCCCUCUCUAAUACAGGGGGCUCAUGACGGUACCGUAAGAAUAAGCACCGGCUAACUACGUGCCAGCAGCCGCCGUAAGAC
rnacentral:rRNA from 1 species